GGAAGUAAAAGUCGUAACAAGGUUUCCGUAGGUGAACCUGCGGAAGGAUCAUUACAAAUGACUGGGAUGUCCUAUCGGACCCCCAAGCAAACACAUCUAUGUGUACUCUGCCAUGUUGCUUCCCCAGACCAGUGGCCACUGCUGCCAGCCCAGCCCCUAAUGGGUUCCUGGGUUGAGGUGUCUGGGGAAGGGCUCAAUAUCAAACUUUUCAACCCACUAGUCGUCUGAGAAGGCCAUGUGCCGCAAUAUUUAAACAAGUUAAAACUUUCAACAACGGAUCUCUUGGCUCUCGCAUCGAUGAAGAACGCAGCGAAAUGCGAUAAGUAAUGUGAAUUGCAGAAUUCAGUGAAUCAUCGAAUCUUUGAACGCACAUUGCGCCCUUUGGUAUUCCUUAGGGCAUGCCUGUUCGAGCGUCACUAAAAACCGACUCACAUAUCGUGUGGUAUUGGUAGAAGUGGAUAGUACUAACACUACUUUGUCUUACUCUGCUGAAAUGAAUAGGCCAGAAAAGUGGACCAUGGUAAUAGAUUCCAGGAGUGUUUUAAAAUGCUAUACUAGUCUUAUCCAAGUCAUAUUCUGAGCCACUGGACCCCCCAUUUAGUCCAAACAACAGUGGUUGACCUCGGAUCAGGUAGGGAUACCCGCUGAACUUAAGCAUAUCAAU
rnacentral:rRNA from 1 species